AACACGUUAUCGACACUGCUGUACACCAAUCGCCAAUGGUUCUGUCAAAACAGGGUGGGUUUUAUACAUUGACAGACAGUCCUAGUGAUCCAAAGAGAACGAGUACUCGGUGUUUACCCGCAUAACGGACAUAUUGCGAUCCAAUUGGAGAAGCGAAUUUAUGAUUGACACGUCAAACGCCGAAUCCAAAAUGUUCCUAAGGAGAUGACGUUCCAGAGCUAUGGGCCAAUCAUACGACGUUGUGAUGCCUCCGAAGGCGGGACCUGAUGGAGUACGGGGGGGGG